UCAGUCCCAGCCAAGCCACAUGGACUGAGAGUCAUGGGGAGACCUAGGGAAAUUAAAUAACUCACAAACACCUGUAAAAACUGUUACAGUGACUGGUGUGUGUGAUAGAGGGCCAUGGGCCUGUGAAAGCUGCAGGAGGGAAAUCGCUUACUCAGGGAGAGCCUGGGGAAAUCCUGCCGGAACUGAGGCCUCUGCAGGGUGAGCAGGAGGGACUGGAGUUCCAGGCAGAGGGAACAGCAUGUACAAAGGCCCUGUGGCAAGAGGGAGUGUGGAGCGAGAGAAAGGCCAGCGUGCUGGAAUCAGAUAUUGGACAAGGAGAAGCCAGAUCAAGGCUGUGUUCGGAACUCUUUGCUUUAUCUUAAGAGCAAUGGAAAGCCAUCAGAGGUUAUAAGCAAGGAUGAGGUACAAGGAAAUGCUAGAACUAGUGAUCUCACCCAGCCUCACUGUAAACAGCGAUUGUCUGGAUAAACUG
rnacentral:sRNA from 1 species